GACGAACGCUGGCGGCGUGCUUAACACAUGCAAGUCGAAUGGAAAGGCCCUGCUUUUGUGGGGUGCUCGAGUGGCGAACGGGUGAGUAACACGUGAGUAACCUGCCCUUGACUUUGGGAUAACUUCAGGAAACUGGGGCUAAUACCGGAUAGGAGCUCCUGCUGCAUGGUGGGGGUUGGAAAGUUUCGGCGGUUGGGGAUGGACUCGCGGCUUAUCAGCUUGUUGGUGGGGUAGUGGCUUACCAAGGCUUUGACGGGUAGCCGGCCUGAGAGGGUGACCGGCCACAUUGGGACUGAGAUACGGCCCAGACUCCUACGGGAGGCAGCAGAGGGGAAUAUUGCACAAUGGGCGGAAGCCUGAUGCAGCAACGCCGCGUGCGGGAUGACGGCCUUCGGGUUGUAAACCGCUUUCGCCUGUGACGAAGCGUGAGUGACGGUAAUGGGUAAAGAGGCACCGGCUAACUACGUG
rnacentral:rRNA from 1 species